GUUAAAGCGUUGAUUGAGAGUAGUAGCAUUGAUUGGAUAUCACAGAGAGCCUGGUUGGGUGGGAAAAGGCAUGGAUAAUCAUUGUGAAUGGACUCAUGAGUGUGGCCCGAAAUGUAGGAGCCAACGGGAAAUCUCCCCCGUUAUCAAAGAGACAUGUAUGAUGGUACAUGAAAUAAGUGGGUAACUUUUUACCAAUUUAGGUGGCACCGCAGGAGAUAUGGUCUCUUGUCCUAUGC
rnacentral:ncRNA from 1 species